rnacentral:sRNA from 1 species
AUCUGUGACCACGCCUCGGCAGUGCUAGUCACACCUCCAAGUUUUGCCAGCUCCUCCCCCUCAUUCCGGGCCUCUCGGGAUCAGCUCUUCCUAUUGGCUAAGGGCCCCAUCGGUCGAUAGAAAACGGGCGGUGAUUGGCAAGUGAACCGGAGCAAACGACUUCCGAUCCAGUCUGCGCUGCUGCGGCUCCCGUUUGGGAUUUGAUUUGUAGCAUCUUUGAGCCUCUACGACAAAAAAUCGCGAAGCACGCCCAGCCCUCCCCCGGCACCCCGAAAAGCACCCACUCCCUCCCGGGGACACAGCUGGGCGCGUCCACACCCCCGCAGCCCCACACCAUGUUGUGCGGAAGGACUUCCACUCCCCGCCUGUGUCGUUGAUGUCAGACCCCAGGCCAGCCUCCGGGCUCUGCAGUUCUCCCGGCUAAUGCUGAGGCUGCGGCUCCGGCUCUAGCACAGGCACCAGCCGCCGCCGCACCCGGCCCCGGCGCCCACCGUCUGCAUGUGCCCGCCGUAGCCAUCUGUCCAGCCCGCAGCCCGCG